UCAGAACACAUUUAUUUAACCUACUGUGGGUCAAUGUGCUUCUCAUGUAAACCUGUACUGUGUGAGAGUGUGGGGGCUUGAAAAGGGUGGGCAUGUUUGGGUUUGUCUUACUGUAAAAUGUGUUGCAU